CUACGUAUAGGUUUUCAUCUGAAAAUCAAAAUUUAGUUGGUAGAGAUUUUAUCACCAAACAAAAGGAUAAAAAAUAAUAAAAGAAACGCAACAUUUUUGAACUGCGCACACUUAUUGUUUUAAAUAAAAAAAUCCCGAAAAACAUUAAUACUUUCCGAGAUGUUUAAAAAAAAAAGUUUAAUGUUAAUGUUUCAGAUGGUUAGUUAGAAAGGCAGAAUAUACAGAUUAAUUUAAUUCAUACAAUGUUUGCAACGAUAAAUCGUUAAUUGAAAAAACAAUAUUAUUCAAAGUAUAUCAGCCCUGUAUUUUUCCCUUGUUGGCAAGAUAACCCAGAAAUUAACAGAAAAUAAAACCUACAUUACCUACUGAAAUAUCUUAAAAAAAGUACCACCGGGUAAAAAUCUCGCAAAUGAAUGAAUUAGACAAUUUGUUUAACUAAAAGUAGUGAUUUU